GACGAACGCUGGCGGCGUGCUUAACACAUGCAAGUCGAACGGAAAGGCCCUGCUUUUGUGGGGUGCUCGAGUGGCGAACGGGUGAGUAACACGUGAGUAACCUGCCCUUGACUUUGGGAUAACUUCAGGAAACUGGGGCUAAUACCGGAUAGGAGCUCCUGCUGCAUGGUGGGGGUUGGAAAGUUUCGGCGGUUGGGGAUGGACUCGCGGCUUAUCAGCUUGUUGGUGGGGUAGUGGCUUACCAAGGCUUUGACGGGUAGCCGGCCUGAGAGGGUGACCGGCGACAUUGGGACUGAGAUACGGACCAGACGACUACGGGAGGCAGCAGUGGGGAAUAUUGCACAAUGGGCGGAAGCCUGAUGCAGAAACGCAGCGAGCGGGAUGACGGCCUUCGGGUUGUAAAACGAUUUAGCAUGUGACGAAGCGUGAGUGACGGUAAUGGGUAAAGAAGCACCGGCUAACUACGUG
rnacentral:rRNA from 1 species